UAAAAAACGAUUAGAAAGACGAGUAAAUAUUAACAUUCGUUUAGUGAGCUAAGGAUAGUGCAAACUUAGCCGACCCUGUAAUAUUGAAAAACCCUUUCCAAGUUGCUAACCCAAAUGGUCACCAAAGUAGGCUUAGUCGUCUCCAGCACGUUACCGCUGGUUGAGUAUGUUAGUACUCGAAUGAAGUGGUCUAGUGCAAACUAGAUAACUUGGGUGGCACCGCGGAAAGAAGCCUUUCGUCCCAUGA
rfam:Lactobacillus coleohominis 101-4-CHN genomic scaffold supercont1.4, whole genome shotgun sequence.